UGUAUCGGAACUUUGCGAUUUCAUCCAAAAAGAGCAGAACACUACGAGACUACCUCCUUCUCUCCAAGUCGUUGUCUUCUUCGGUUCUUCCUAGCGUCUCCCCGUUCUUCUCUCCGUAGUAGCUAACAGUAUAGUGUGGCCUCGCAUGGAGACUUUCCCUCCUCGCUGGCCCCGCAUCUGGCCCGGAUUAACCGCCUUGGGCUCCCUCCCCAGAUUGCCCCACCCACCGUCAGCCUCGUCAGGUAUGUCUCGUGUUCCCUAACCUUGACGCUUCUCCCUUCUCGGCGCCUGCUUCGUUGGUUGCCUUCAGCGGACGCCGCCGAUUCGGCUCUCCUGUUCGGCGCCCUCCCCAGAUUGCCCCACCCACCGUCAGCCUCGUCAGGUAUGUCUAGUGUUCCCUAACCUUGACGCUUCUCCCUUCUCGGCGCCUGCUUCGUUGGUUGCCUUCAGCGGACGCCGCCGAUUCGGCUCUCCUGUUCGGCGCCGUGUCUUGCGACAGACAAUGCUACAUUCUGGAGUACAUGGAUUAGAUGGGUGUUGUGCACUGCUUUUAUAUGGAUCUAAUGAUUGUGGCCUUGAACGUUCUCGCCAGGCAUAUCUCAUGUUUUUACAUGGAUUAGAUAAGUACAUGAAUCUUUAUUUAGGCCUGUUUGGUUACUUUAGUCUAGGGACUAAAGUUUAGUACUCCAUAUCCAGCUUGAUUUGAGGGACUAAAAGUAUCCAUAACGCAUUAAAUGACUCGUAAGAAACCAAAAUGCCUCUCAUCAUUCUCUGGCAUUAGAGCAUCUGAAAUAAAUGAGAGCCAAAAGUGGAAUUAAUAUGGUUUAGUCCCUUUUAUCACCCCUUUAAGGGACUAGAGACUAAAGCAGUUUAAUCCUUGUUUUAGUCCUACUAUUUGGCAAUUUAUAGACUAAAUGAGACUAAAAUGGAGGGACUAAUCUUUAGUCCUUGGAACCAAACAGGCCCUUAACCCGAAGGUAAUUGAGAUUGCGAAGAAGAUGAAAGAGGAGAGGGUCAAGUUGUUUACUUCAGAAUAUUUUGCUUACAGAUGAUACGACUAGAUCAAAUCAGUUGCAUUGUGAGUUGUGACAUGUUGGCAGGAUGUCAGUUUCCCUUUUAACCUGGCUCUUGUUUGCUUCCUGUGUAAUUUGUGUAUAUCCCUGUGAUGAACAUUUUAGUAAUCUGGGUGCUCAUUCAAUUGGCGCGCCCUCCUCAUCACUCUUAGAUGGGGAGGUUGAAGGAACCCAUAUCGAUGAUGUAUACACCGUUGAGAUGUUUGCUUCUCGUGUAAUUUGUGUAUAUCCCCGUGAUGAACAUUUUAGUAAUUUGAGUGCUCAUUCAGUUGGUGCUCCCUCCUCAUCACGCAAAUAGGUACUGAAGCCCAUAUGACUAUGCAGAUCUAGGACAGAAUGUUUGCAAUAAAUACUGACAUGGAUAUCUAGCUUUGGCUUUGAAAGAUGUAGGGAUCUUUUGUUAAAUUGAUUUACCUAGGGUCCUGCUACAAGAGCUUACCUGUUACCUCGUUAUAUCUUUGUGAGAUUACAGCAAAAGUAUCCAAUUUCUACAUAUUUUACUGCUACACAGAUUUGUCUGUCUGUUUGGUCAUGGAUAUGGUUCGGUUUUACUGCUGUAAAAAGGGAUUAAAAAAUCUGCAACCUGAUUUCAAUUUUUAUUUUUUAUUUGCAUCACGAUGAAAUGGUAGGGUCCUCCCAGGACAAACCAUGCUCCGGAGACAGAGGCGGCAGAGCUGGGGCAGGAGCAGAGCCAUCACAGAAAUUCUUGUCUCCAGGUAUGUUGAAGUUUCAACAACUUGGUUUAUAAAUUAACAUGAUUUUAAAAAAUCACAGUGACUCCUCUUGCAGAUUUUGUAAAAUGUUUUUUUCUCUACUGCACUGCCUAUCAUUUGCUGCAAUUUGAGGAUUAUAACAUUCUAGACACACUAAAAUCUAUCAUCUAUCAUAAACAGUAGCUAUUUCCCCCUCUGUUCUUUGUGUCUCUGAUUGUGUGGUACCAGCUACUUUGGCAUACAUUUGUUUUUUGCUUUAAUCUUCUGUUCAGCUUCUAAUUCAGAAAUCUUUACUUCAGAUAACCAGAAUACUUCAGCUUCCAUAGUUCCACUUACACAGUUGUAACAAUCUAGCCUGUAAUGGCUUGUAACAGUACAGUGAGUUGGGAGUUGGGACACCUCUGAUGUUUAGAGCUCCAAUGGUCCUGUGGGAGGGAUAUAUUUUUGUUUUCAUAUUGUUUAGCCAUGGGGUGCCAGGGUCUACGUUCUACCUUGGUUUGGUUCUCUCCUUUUCUCCUAUCUGUCAACACAUAGUCGUCUAUUACUUAUAAAAAACCACAUUUUCCCAUUUUGAUCCCUUUAUGAACAAUGCUGGAAAUCAAAUUCUAUUCAUUUUGGAAAAUAAUUACAUAUUUAUUCGUCGUAGCUAUAUUCCAUUGUUUUAUUAGGUGCUCAAAAAUUGUGUUGACCGGACACAUGCUAUUUUGGCCUAUGUGCUAUCCAUUGCUAUGUUUUAUCGGUAGGGUUUUCCAUGCUUAGAUAACUUCCUAAUUUCUCAUUUUUUGUAAAUAAAUAAAUACUUGGAGAUUCUUGGUCAAAGGAAUGUUGGACACCUGCUAGCCAAUGUGCAGCCGCGAGAGGUCUCAGACAGAUAAGAUGGUCGACGGCAUGGACUUCGAGGAGCUCUGCAGCGACUUCGAAUGCAUAAGCAGCCCCUACGUGGAGUCCAUAAUGAGGCAGGUCGCGCGGGACAUCUUUGAGCUUCGCGAGGAUAACCGCGCAUUCAGCUGCUACGCCGUCCCCGUGAAGUAUGAGGCUCCUUCCUGAUGAUAAUUUAUAAUGAUAAAUCGAGGAAACUCCAAUAAGUUUCCUUCCUUUUUUUCCUUUCGUUUUUCUCCCUUCUCUGAUUUUUCAGUGUGGAGGGACUGGACUUCCGACAAAGGAAAUCACAACAUUGUAUAUGAUUGACUUGUAAUAUGUUAGUAAAUAUGUCUGUACGUUAUGACAAGAGAUAUAACUUGUUUUAGGGCUAGUUUGGUAACUUCAUUUUUUUCAAGGAAUUUUUUCAUUUU